rnacentral:rRNA from 1 species
CUGAAAGCAUCUAAGCGGGAAGCCGGCCCAAAGAUGAGUCAUCCCUGAACUUUAAGUUCUGGAAGGGUUGUUAUAGACGAUGACGUUGAUAGGCAGGGUGUGGAAGCGUUGUAAGGCGUUAAGCUAACCUGUACUAAUUGCCCGAGAGGCUUAACC